UACGGUGGUCAUAGCGUGGGGGAAACGCCCGGUCCCAUUCCGAACCCGGAAGCUUAGCCUCACAGCGCCGAUGGUACUGCCCUGGUGACGGGGUGGGAGAGUAGGACGCCGCCGGAC
rnacentral:rRNA from 1 species